UACGUAGGGGGCAAGCGUUGUCCGGAAUCAUUGGGCGUAAAGAGCGUGUAGGCGGCCUGGUAAGUCCGCUGUGAAAGUCCAGGGCUCAACCCUGGAAUGCCGGUGGAAACUGUCAGGCUCGAGUCCGGAAGAGGCGAGUGGAAUUCCUGGUGUAGCGGUGAAAUGCGCAGAUAUCAGGAGGAACACCAAUGGCGAAGGCAGCUCGCUGGGACGGUAGCUGACGCUGAGACGCGAAAGCGUGAGGAGCAAACAGGAUAGAAA
rnacentral:rRNA from 1 species